rnacentral:misc_RNA from 1 species
GUUGCUGAAAGGUGAAGUUGUGACUCAACAAAGAUUUAUGAUAGUCCAUCAACGAACCAUAUCAAUUCAACUUAAUUAAUAAUUCCCUGCCUAGUUUAUGUUGCUCAUUCCCAUCUGUUACGUUUCCUCCAAAUUAGCCUGUUCUUCUGUGUCAAUUUCAUUGUGAAGGAAAAUAACUUCCAAUUUUUGAAGAAAUGAUCCAUUUCAUCAUAACCAAUGGGAAAUGGCACAAACCAAAUACAAAGAAUAGGCAGGCUAAAAAC